UGCACUUUUCUGAUGAAAAUGUCAUUUUGUCAAUGUGAAUUUUUUUAGAUUGAAAUGAAAAUUGAAGUAUAAAAAAAAGUAAACAAAGUGUUUUAUAUUAUAUUGGAUAUAAUGAAGUAAUUUUGAGAUUAAAGAUAGGUUCAGCAAGUUCUAUGAAUAAAAAAUGAGUGUUAUGUGUUAUACGUGCAUACAAAUAACAAGGAAGGAUGUGUCUGGUGUCUGACUGGUCAUUUUCAAUUCAUCUGUAUUUAUUUGCUACAAUUUAUGACACCAAUCAUAACCGUACUAAUGUCAAUUCUGAAAACUUCAUCAGUGACAAUUGAUGCUGUGUAGAAAAUUCAAUAAGAAGACUAAUUCUGAAGAAAUAGAGCAAGCUCUAAAAAUGGUUAGUAAAAGCCAAUGAAAGAGAGGCAGAAAACGAAACCAAUGAAGGAAAAAAUGAUGUUAUUAUCUAAUAUAUGUUUUAAUAU